rnacentral:siRNA from 1 species
UGUAGCCACCUUGAUUGUUGAU